rnacentral:rRNA from 1 species
UUUCAUCAGGACGAGAUGAUAAGACUUCCACAAUGGACGCAAGUCUGAUGGAGCAACGCCGCGUGAGUGAAGAAGGGUUUCGGCUCGUAAAGCUCUGUUGUUAAAGAAGAACGUGGGUGAGAGUAACUGUUCACCCAGUGACGGUAUUUAACCAGAAAGCCACGGCUAACUACGUGCCAGCAGCCGCGGUAAUACGUAGGUGGCAAGCGUUAUCCGGAUUUAUUGGGCGUAAAGCGAGCGCAGGCGGUCUUUUAAGUCUAAUGUGAAAGCCUUCGGCUCAACCGAAGAAGUGCAUUGGAAACUGGGAGACUUGAGUGCAGAAGAGGACAGUGGAACUCCAUGUGUAGCGGUGAAAUGCGUAGAUAUAUGGAAGAACACCAGUGGCGAAGGCGGCUGUCUGGUCUGUAACUGACGCUGAGGCUCGAAAGCAUGGGUAGCGAACAGGAUUAGAUACCCUGGUAGUCCAUGCCGUAAACGAUGAUUACUAAGUGUUGGAGGGUUUCCGCCCUUCAGUGCUGCAGCUAACGCAUUAAGUAAUCCGCCUGGGGAGUACGACCGCAAGGUUGAAACUCAAAAGAAUUGACGGGGGCCCGCACAAGCGGUGGAGCAUGUGGUUUAAUUCGAAGCUACGCGAAGAACCUUACCAGGUCUUGACAUCUUCUGCCAACCUAAGAGAUUAGGCGUUCCCUUCGGGGACAGAAUGACAGCAGGUGCUAUGGUAUCGUCAGAUACAUGAGA